rnacentral:rRNA from 1 species
UACGGAGGAUGCGAGCGUUAUCCGGAUUUACUGGGUGUAAAGGGAGCGUAGACGGUGAUGCAAGUCAGAAGUGAAAGCCCGGGGCUCAACUCCGGGACUGCAUUGGAAACUGGCAUGCUGGAGUGCCGGAGGGGCAAGCGGAAUUCCUAGUGUAGCGGUGAAAUGCGUAGAUAUUAGGAAGAACACCAGUGGCGAAGGCGGCUUGCUGGACAGUAACUGACGUUGAGGCUCGAAAGCGUGGGGAGCAAACAGG